UUAUAAUGUGCUUUAAAGCAUAAUGCCAUUUACAAUAUUGUGGUCAAGAAUUGCAAUUGCACAAUCAAUUUUUUUUCCCGUAAUCGCUCUUUGGAUCAUAAGAAAACUUGCCUGAAAGAUAAGUCUUGGCCAUGAUAAUAUGAAUACCGGCCUAGCGGUAAGCUUUAAUAAAAAAAAAAGUAUGAUUAUAUAAAUGCAAAUAUUUAGAAAUAUCUACUUCGCAAGUUCUUCAUUCGUCAGAUUAGAAAGGUCUUGUGGCUUGUUGUGGAUUCCUAAAAAUAUAUUGUUAUAAUUAUUGUUUACGAGAGAGAGAGAGAGAGAGAGAGAGAGUAUGGUUUGUUUGUUUGUAUGGUGUUUUUACGUUGCAAGGAACCAGUGGUUAUUCAGCAACGGGACCAACGGCUUGACGUGACUUCCGAACCACGUCGUGAGUGAACUUCUAUCACCAGAAAUGAGAGAGAGAGAGUAUGGCAUUGAUUAUAUUGAAAACAAAAAUCAAAAUUUCUUCAGUAGAGAGCAUAUAGUUGAUAUUUCUCUUUUAUUUAAAAAAAAUAGACUUUAAAAGGUCAUUUUACAAUAAAUAUAUGUAAUUUAUGUACAGACUCAACAAAUAUAGUUAUAUUUUCUAUAGCUCAACAUACUUCAAUUUACUAUUCAUAAUACAUACAUAUACCCAUACCUAUACACUGUAUAUACAUACUCAUUUCACAUACAUAUAGCCGCGCCAUAUACCGUAAGAGGCUAGAACAUUAUCAGUAUCAUACAUAAACAUCGUAGGAUCUGUUGUUUGCACUUCCACGUAACCUGAAAUCAAACAAAGUUGCGAAAGACAACUACGCAAAUUCAAACAACAUCGAGAACGAAGAAUUCCUUCGUUAAAUUUUGGCUUGACUCUCUUGCGAUCUUUUAAAUUACAGCAUCGGCAACACUUGACAUUUCCCACACUGCACCCUUGAGGGGCCAGACACGGAGGCGCCAUUCCGACCCCCCACCGGGGCCAAGGGACGUCCUAUCCCAGAGAGUGAGAGAGAUUCAGACCGGGAACUUGUGUGCUGUUGUCAAGCGCUUGGAGCAGGCAGCAGGCUAGUGCUCAGGCUCGACUUCUCCUCCAAACCGGCGUUUACAGUUGUCUUGUCCUUCAUGCUCGACGCACGGGAAAUAAUUCUAGGAAAAUGCAGUACGCGUUUCUAUUCUCAGUUCGUAUGAUGCAACACGUGAGGUACUGAAGGUCACCAGUUUAUUGAAGGAAAAAACAUAAAUAAAUUUCUUACAGUUGCUGAGGUAUCGGGAAAAUGUGUCAACUACUACUAUCAGGAAGCCAUGAAUCUUUUGUGAGGUCCCCGGUAUUUCUACUUUUGGAUUAUUUGAGUGCUGCCUGCUUCAUGACUGACUUACAUUGUUACAAAGGAGAUACGUAUAGUAUUCUGUAUGGAUGUCAAUAUCCUUAACAAUGUUUGGAAAUGGCCAUUUCUUUUUUCAUGGCAAUGGAUCUUCUUUAUCCAUUUAAGGCUAACAACAGAAUGUUAGUAUGUAGCUGUAACGAAGGGAAUUGGUUUCAACAACAACAAAUACCAAGACAUCCGCAACUACAAGUGGAAACCCCAUCUCUCCUACCUUUUGUGAAAUCAUGUACAAUGUGGGCUAGAGAUCUGUAGCAACCAAAGUGAUGGAGACAAUUCUUUGGAGGAAAAGUGACUAACUACAAUCAGUGGCAACUCAUUUGCAGAAUUGGACCUCUUGUCAUUAUUGUCAGGAGAGAGGAUUUGUCAUCUUCUGUGUUUACCCAGCGAUCAUCAUCUCUUCACUGCACCAACUCUGCUGUCAAGACUUUAUUUUGUUGUUGUCCUCCAUACAUGCUAUAUGUCCACCCAGUGACAUAAUCUGGAAGUAUUAAAAUGGAAAAAGUUUGUUAAGUUACAAAGUAACAAUAUUGUUAACAGCAGGGAAAGCAUUACUGCUUCCUGUGAUUUAAUGUAGUGGUCUUUUAGUUUGUCAUGAUUUAUGAUCCAGCAUUUAUGAUGAUUGUAAUCAAUACUGAGGGAAGUACAAGCUGUAUGUUAUGGACGCAUGCUACUUAUUACUGAUUAUUCUGACCAUUCAUUUUCCAAAUUUUAAUAGAAGUAUAUUUAUUAUUUUUUCCCAAGUAUCAAGAGAACAACUGACCUUCAUAAUUAAAAUAGUUUUGAAGUUAUAAUACCUACUAGACUGUUCAUUCCUCCUUCCCAACACAUCGAAAGUGUAAAUAUUUUUCAAGUAUUCCCUCUCCAUAUACAACUACAUUACUAUAGUCGAUUCAUUUAAGGUAGAUUCUUGCGCCUACGAGACGUUUGUUUGGCGGCCUCUGAUUGGCUGGUAGCGGGAUGCAGACUGCUCGCUCAGUGGGUCAUAUUUUCGUUUGUAGCUUAGAAAACUAGCAAUAUGUUUACAUUUCUUCAUUUAUCUCACGUUUUACAAAAGAUAGGAAAGUUCUCACGUUUUACAAAAGAUAGGAAAGUUUUGUUCAUACCAAAGGAUUCAGUAUUAAAUAUACAAUUAAUUAAUCUUUUCCUGAAAUCAAUAAGUUAAAAUACAAUGGAAUUACAACGAGUUGAAGUGAAGGGAGAAACAUUUCAUUCUUUAUACCUGUUUUUAUUCAUAAUCGGAUUUUGCAUAAUUCAUGAGAUCAAAAUAAAAUGAAAUCUUGUGUUAUAAAACAAUAAAUUCAACCUGAAUACGAUGGUGCUUUCAGAUUUUAGAUGCGUGUAAUAUGUAAAGAGAAAAUGAAGAAUAUGUCUUAUUAUGUUGCAUCCGUGCUUGACUCGGUUUGACAGUAGUGCCGAGAGACGCAAGAUAUCUUGGGGCUGGUCCUCUCAGCUAGAGCCGUUGGCGUGUUGGCAGUUGCCAAUUGGCGAUAUGAGAAGUUUGCAGUUUCGAGACUAUGUAUUU